AGAUCGCGAACGGCAACCAAUCUUCAUCAUGCUUCCACCUCAAGAAUCCUUGGGUUUCUUCAUUUGAUUUGGGUUUCAUUUAUUUCUCAUUUUCGUUUUGGAAUCAAUCUUUGAAUUUUUGUGAUGGGUUCUUGCAUAAACUAUUGUUGUGUUGUUUUACAAGGAGAGUAAGUGAGAGUUGAAAAGGAUUAAGUGAAUGGCAACAAAGAUUAUCAUCUUCUUCGUGGAGCUAAAGCCACCCUCCCCACACUGACCACCAAACGUCACCGUUGCGCUCUCCGAAGUUGUUUGUAUUAGUUCAGAGCCGCUUCGAUCACUCUCUCUCACACACACGAUCUUGUCUUCCGAAGUUGGAUCUUGGAGUUUUUGAGUAAUAUUUGAAGUUUUGAAAGAGUUGAGUUGCUGUCCAGUCGAUAAGAAGAUCGGUUUUUGGCUCUUUUGACAUAAAGUUGAAGGAAACUUCAGAAAGUGCUUGGAGUUAUUCUUCAAAAGGAUGCAUUUGAAAGGAUAUUCGAUUCUCUUUCUGAGGCGUUAGCGAAUCGUUCCAAGUAACCAUAAUAUUUUUAGACAUUGCAUAUGAUUUGGUUUUUUAUAACAUUUCCUAGUGAUUAGUCUUUUUUGGUUACUAUCUGAUUUUAGUUUCUGAAAAAAUAAACAUUAUCCAUUUCUAAAGUCUAUGGUUUGAAACUUGGAAAACCCCAUUGCCGCAUUCUGAAAUUCCAGCUCACUUAAGAAAUGUGGUGUUGCGAAGGGUACUAUCUUAACUGCUU